UUAAGGAGUUUAGCUGAGGGCACUGAAAAUGCCGUCAAGUUUCCUAGGUUACUGAUUGAUAUGGUUUGGAUCUGCAUCCCUGCCAAAUCUCAUGUUGAAUUGUAAUCCCUAAUGUUGGAGUUGGGACCUGGGGGAAGGGGGAGUGGAUCACGGAGCAGAUUUCUCACGAAUGGUUAUGCAGCAUCCUGUUGGAACUCUCCUUAUGAUCUCGAGUGAGAAAACCAGAGACCUUUGUUCACUUGUUUGUCUGCUGACCUUCCCUCCACUAGUGUCCUAUGACCCUGCCAAAUCCCCCUCUGUGAGAAACACCCAAGAAUGAUCAAUAAAAAUAAAAUAAAAUUAAAAAA
rnacentral:lncRNA from 1 species